rnacentral:rRNA from 1 species
CCGUAACUAUAACGGUCCUAAGGUAGCGAAAUUCCUUGUCGGGUAAGUUCCGACCCGCACGAAUGGCGUAACGAUGGCCACACUGUCUCCUCCUGAGACUCAGCGAAGUUGAAGUGGUUGUGAAGAUGCAAUCUACCCGCUGCUAGACGGAAAGACCCCGUGAACCUUUACUGUAGCUUUGCAUUGGACUUUGAAGUCACUUGUGUAGGAUAGGUGGGAGGCUUUGAAGCAGAGACGCCAGUCUCUGUGGAGCCGUCCUUGAAAUACCACCCUGGUGUCUUUGAGGUUCUAACCCAGACCCGUAAUCCGGGUCGGGGACCGUGCAUGGUAGGCAGUUUGACUGGGGCGGUCUCCUCCCAAAGAGUAACGGAGGAGUUCGAAGGUUACCUAGGUCCGGUCGGAAAUCGGACUGAUAGUGCAAUGGCAAAAGGUAGCUUAACUGCGAGACCGACAAGUCGAGCAGGUGCGAAAGCAGGACAUAGUGAUCCGGUGGUUCUGUAUGGAAGGGCCAUCGCUCAACGGAUAAAAGGUACUCCGGGGAUAACAGGCUGAUUCCGCCCAAGAGUUCAUAUCGACGGCGGAGUUUGGCACCUCGAUGUCGGCUCAUCACAUCCUGGGGCUGUAGUCGGUCCCAAGGGUAUGGCUGUUCGCCAUUUAAAGUGGUACGUGAGCUGGGUUUAAAACGUCGUGAGACAGUUUGGUCCCUAUCUGCAGUGGGCGUUGGAAGUUUGACGGGGGCUGCUCCUAGUACGAGAGGACCGGAGUGGACGAACCUCUGGUGUACCGGUUGUAACGCCAGUUGCAUAGCCGGGUAGCUAAGUUCGGAAGAGAUAAGCGCUGAAAGCAUCUAAGCGCGAAACUCGCCUGAAGAUGAGACUUCCCUUGUGGUUUAACCACACUAAAGAGUCGUUCGAGACCAGGACGUUGAUAGGUGGGGUGUGGAAGCGCGGUAACGUGUGAAGCUAACCCAUACUAAUUGCUCGUGAGGCUUGACUCU